AUAUGUUUUUUUCCUAUGAUACUCAGUUUUAAAAGUUUGCUAGAAGAUGCUACACAAUACUUUACUAUACUUAACUCUCUUUUUGCAGGGACUUCAUGCCCGAGCCAGGGCUCAGGAGGAGGAGAUCUUCUCCCUUUGGGAACAGGUUGCUGUUGCCUGUAUGAAGGUAUGGAAUAUACAGCUUUGCUUAGCCGUGAUUGCAGUGCUCAAAGGAGGCACCAACAGGUACGGAAGUGCUCAAAGGAGGCACCAACAGGGACUUCAUGCCCGAGCCAGGGCUCAGGAGGAGGAGAUCUUCUCCCUUUGGGAACAGGUUGCUGUUGCCUGUAUGAAGAUGUUGAACGAGAAAUGCAAUCUGGAGAGGCAAUUCUCUGAGCUAAGAAAUGAGUUUGGCACAUUAACGUAGGCAAAUGCAGAGUGGGCAAAUUGAGCAGAAUGGUUGAAGGUGGCAAAUUGAGCAGAGUUGAAGGGCACAAAGUAAGUGUCUCUAAUGAAUGCUAAGCCAAGGAUGGAGAAACUAGAGCUGAUUUACUCUCCGAGGCAAGCGUUGAGUAUGAGACCAAGGAAUCUUCAUCUCUUAGAAACAUACCAGUGGUGAUUUGUUACAAAUGAAUGUGCCUUCAAGAAUUAGCAGAGAGUAUAAGUGGAGGAGAGAGUGUUCCAGCACCAAAAGCAUCUCCUGAGUCUUGGCAAGGAUUGUUAUGAUGUUCUUAGAGGAGAAUAAGAAUGCUGCUGCUUUGACAACUAAAGCUAAAGCAGGAAGUUGUCAGUUUUGAAAAGGGCUGAAAAAUCCUUGAGGAAAGAGGUUUUAUAAUGUUAGCUUUGCUUAGCCGUGAUUGCAGUGCUCAAAAGAGGCACCAACAGACUGCUGUGAUGGAACUGAUGAAAAGGAUAGCAAAGUCACAUACCCAAAUACCUGAAAAAGAAGAUUGCCAGAUAUCAAGAAGGUGUCAAGCUUUGGAAGAAAGAACUUGAAUGAGAGAAAUCUGCUCUGGCUAAGGACGAGGCUGAACUUUUAAUAUUGAAAAAAAGAAGAAAGCGCACUUAAAGAUGGUGCAACAGCUAAAAGAAAAAACAGGCCGAAAACAAUCUUUUCAUAUUGGGAUUGUCCAUGAUUUCUUUGAAAGAAGAGCUGUGAGGAUAUGGAAGCAAGCCAAGGUUCAUCUAUUGGUCAAAUUAUCUCAUCACAAUUCAAAAAUUUGGUGCAUUGCGUGUAUUAAAGGAAAAACAACGGGCAAUGGUGAAGGAGAUGAUUGACAAAUGUGUAAAAGAAAAAGGUGCCAGAAUAUGCUUCUUUGUGUGUUUUUAUAAGAGUCUAAUUGAAACUAUAUUAGCAUAAUUGCACAAAAUUUAAUUGGCAGUUUUCUUCUAUGCUUUAAGAUCGAUCAAUAAACUUUGUAUUUUUUUAUGUUAGAGUAAUAUAUUUUGUGAGAGUUUUAUAUCUUCUGUUGAGUAUUCAAAGCAAAAGAAGCAAAAAGGUUUUGAAGCGAAGAUUGGAAUUGAUGAGCCAGAAACUUUGGUGCUCACAUCUCUUUUUGCUUUUUCCUCCCUUUUUUUUGGAGUUAUAAAGCUUCCUUAAUUUCUCAUAUACUC